GAUGAACGCUAGCUACAGGCUUAACACAUGCAAGUCGAGGGGAAACGACAUUGGAAGCUUGCUUCCUUUGGGCGUCGACCGGCGCACGGGUGAGUAACGCGUAUCCAACCUUCCCGCAAGUAAGGGAUAACCCGUAGAAAUGCGGCCUAAUACCUUAUGUUUUCCUUAGAGGGCAUCUGAUGAGGAACAAAGAUCCGUCGCUUGCGGAUGGGGAUGCGUCUGAUUAGUUAGUCGGCGGGGUAACGGCCCACCGAGACGACGAUCAGUAGGGGUUCUGAGAGGAAAGUCCCCCACAUUGGAACUGAGACACGGUCCAAACUCCUACGGGAGGCAGCAGUGAGGAAUAUUGGUCAAUGGGCGGAAGCCUGAACCAGCCAAGUAGCGUGCAGGACGACGGCCCUAUGGGUUGUAAACUGCUUUUAUGCGGGAUAAAGUGGGCCACGCGUGGCCUUUUGCAGGUACCGCAUGAAUAAGGACCGGCUAAUUCCGUG
rnacentral:rRNA from 1 species